CAGAGUUGGUAAUGGAGCCCCAGC
rnacentral:miRNA from 1 species